rnacentral:rRNA from 1 species
AUUGAACGCUGGCGGCAGGCCUAACACAUGCAAGUCGAGCGGAUGAAGGGAGCUUGCUCCUGGAUUCAGCGGCGGACGGGUGAGUAAUGCCUAGGAAUCUGCCUGGUAGUGGGGGAUAACGUCCGGAAACGGGCGCUAAUACCGCAUACGUCCUGAGGGAGAAAGUGGGGGAUCUUCGGACCUCACGCUAUCAGAUGAGCCUAGGUCGGAUUAGCUAGUUGGUUGGGUAAAGGCCUACCAAGGCGACGAUCCGUAGCUGGUCUGAGAGGAUGAUCAGUCACACUGGAACUGAGACACGGUCCAGACUCCUACGGGAGGCAGCAGUAGGGAAUAUUGGACAAUGGGCGAAAGCCUGAUCCAGCCAUGCCGCGUGUGUGAAGAAGGUCUUCGGAUUGUAAAACACUUUAAGUUGGGAAGAAGAACAGUAAAUUAAUACCUUGCUGUUUUGACGUUACCAACACAAUAAGCACCGGCUAACUUCGUG